UUCCCUACGGGACGCAGCAGUGGGGGAUAUUGCACAAUGGGGGAAACCCUGAUGCAGCGACGCCGCGUGAGUGAAGACGGCCUUCGGGUUGUAAAGCUCUGUCAAUCGGGACGAAGAAGAUGACGGUACCGAUGAAGGAAGCUCCGGCUAACUACGUGCCAGCAGCCGCGGUAAUACGUAGGUGGCAAGCGUUAUCCGGAUUUAUUGGGUGUAAAGGGCGUGUAGGCGGGAAUGCAAGUCAGAUGUGAAAACUAUGGGCUCAACCCAUAGCCUGCAUUUGAAACUGUAUUUCUUGAGUGCUGGAG
rnacentral:rRNA from 1 species